UCGCUCUAGAAAAAUAUUGGAAGUGUUUAAGACUAAUUAGUACAGAGUUCCGAUGCUAAAUGGAUGAAAAGGAGGGGAAGAAAAUAUAGGUGGAUAUCAUGUAGAAACAAAUGAGAAAAAGAACCUUGUUCAAGUUCGGAUGGAAAGAGAAGAUGCUGGGGGUAGGGCAAUUUAUCCCUGUGGAGAAGAACAACAACAUCAUAGUUGCUCAGAGGCGUCCGGAGAAGACACUGCAGGAUAAAAAUCAACGGCACUAUGAUUGACAUAUUAUAGCAAACAAAUUCACAGGAUUGACUUAUGAAAAUUUCAAGAUGAGAGAGGGAUAACCUAAAGGUAAGGACCCUCCACCUCCAACCAUAAGGUUGACGGAUCGAGCCACCAAGGGAGAUGAGCACAAAUAGGAUCAACAUUGAGCUCCUCAGUAAAGGGUCUGAUGAAGGGGUUUACCAGAAAAAAAAAUAUUUUUUUAAAAAGAUUUACUUUUAGUUACUUAUCAUUAUCUGGUAGUAUAAAUGAGAAAAAGCUGCACGAGAAGUGGAAACGUAGAUCUGGUGUAAUUUUCAGUAGUAUAUAUGUUUGAUAAGUUUCCUAUUCAAUAAAGCUAACGUUCAGUUUGAGAGGUGAAGCUUUAGUUCCGACCUCACUGGUCCAAAUAAAGAACAGUACACAUCAUGGUUACAAUCAUAUGAAAUACUUUUUUUUGUGGUAAGUUACAAUCGUAUACUUCUCCUUUUUCCUAAAUGACGCUAUCACAAUUCACAAACAAUAUUGACAAAUCAUGUUGUUUGCAUAUAGUAAUUAAGAAUUACUUUUGUGGUGAGCAUGUUUAUGGUAGUGAGGCAGCGAAGAAAAAUGGGUUGCAGAUGGAAACUAAGAUUUCCAUGAGCCCCUCCAGAGGCCGCUUCUCCACAGUAGAAACCUUGGUCAUACAUUCUAGGAUCAAUUGUCUUAAGUUGACCACAAACUAUUUGGGUGCAAUAUAUCAAUAUUAGGAUGCAAAACAAAAUGCUUCUUCACAUGUUUCUGUUUCGGUGAACAAGAUUCCAUGAAAUUCAGACAAAGAAUUAAUAAAAGUGUUUGAUAAUUGAGGAACACUUACUGCUGUAGUUGGUGAGGAUCUUGUCCAUGCUUCAGAUGCGAUGUCAUACUUGGUAGCUAAGAACAUUGCAGGACUUAACUUUUGUGUGUCCUUUUCAUGCUCUUCUCUACUUCUCAUGAAAUUCUCCUGUCAAUAUCAUACGGAAAUAGUAUUUAGAUUUAUAAAACUACUACAUGGAGAAACAAGAAAAGAGCAUGGAACGCCCUCCAAAGAUUGAUUAUUUGACUUGGUACUUACGUUAAUUUUAUUUUUCUCCUCGGUUGAAAAUUCGCCAUCAAAAUCAACGAUUAAAGGAGAGAAGGCCCAAUCAUAUUCCGAUAAUAAUCGUAAGAACCU